rnacentral:tRNA from 1 species
GCCCAUGUAGCUCAGUUGGCAGAGCACAUCCUUGGUAAGGAUGAGGUCACCGGUCCGAUUCCGGUCAUGGGCUCCA